CUGCAACCCGCCUGCAUGAAGUUGGAAUCGCUAGUAAUCGCGGAUCAGCAUGCCGCGGUGAAUACGUUCCCGGGCCUUGUACACACCGCCCGUCACACCAUGAGAGUCGGGAACACCCGAAGUCCGUAGCCUGACCGCAAGGGGGGCGCGGCCGAAGGUGGGUUCGAUAAUUGGGGUGAAGUCGUAACAAGGUAUC
rnacentral:rRNA from 1 species